rnacentral:tRNA from 1 species
GCGCCCGUAGCUCAGCUGGAUAGAGCAGCGGACUUCUAAUCCGCAGGUCGUUGGUUCGAGUCCAACCGGGCGUGC